rnacentral:rRNA from 1 species
UCGGGAAUUUUGGGCAAUGGGCGAAAGCCUGACCCAGCAACGCCGCGUGAAGGAUGAAGUAUUUCGGUAUGUAAACUUCGAAAGAAUAGGAAGAAUAAAUGACGGUACUAUUUAUAAGGUCCGGCUAACUACGUGCCAGCAGCCGCGGUAAUACGUAGGGACCAAGCGUUGUUCGGAUUUACUGGGCGUAAAGGGCGCGUAGGCGGCAAUUCAAGUCAUCUGUGAAAUCUCCGGGCUUAACUCGGAACGGUCAGAUGAUACUGCUUUGCUAGAGUGCAGAAGGGGCAAUCGGAAUUCUUGGUGUAGCGGUGAAAUGCGUAGAUAUCAAGAGGAACACCUGAGGUGAAGACGGGUUGCUGGGCUGACACUGACGCUGAGGCGCGAAAGCCAAGGGAGCAAACGGGAUUAGAUACCCCAGUAGUCCCUGAGCGGGCUGGCAAGGCGCAU